CUGAGCAGACGUAAUAAUAAUAAUAUGUGUAUAAAAAUAUUAUAAUAUUUACACUGAAAAAUUAUCCUCCUCACAUUCUAGUGGCUAGUUCUGAAAUACAGUAUUGCGUUUAAUGCAGUUAUAAGAUACCAACUUAGUUUAAAUUAUACGAGUAUAAGGUUUGACUAUUAUUAUAAUUACGUGUAAAUUACGUUUUUAUUUCAUUUUCGUUUCAUAGAUAAGCUUUUUAUAAUGAGUAUAAUAAUUUUGGACAACCCAAAUGCAAGUAUAACGUCGUUUUAAUAUGUUGGAUACACAUCAAUACCGAGAAUUUUUAAAGACGCGAACUAACCGUUUUUAUAUAGAACGCAGACAUUUGUGUACGUAUUGCGUUGAAAACAAUGAAAAUUCAUUUAAAAUAAAAUGAAACGAGUAGCCACAACCGUGUUUGGUUAUAAUAAAUACGAGUACCUAAAAAGAACAUAUCUAAUAAUCUAACUAUAAAUGUUAGUUUAAUACAAUUAAGUUGUUUAAUAUACAUCAGUAAGCAAAUCUAUGAUUUUCUCGACAAUAUCCAACAUCUAGACGAACUUUUAUAAGGACACAAUUUAACAGUUGUAGGACUUUAUGUAAAAAUGUGAAUUGGUAUAAAUUCAUAAUGUUUUGAAUAAGUAAUGUAAACCAUGGUAGCCAGUCAUAAUUAGAUGAAAAAAAAAUAUAACAUAUUGUUAUAAAUUUAAGUUAUGGAGAUUUGUGCAACACAUUCUUCAUCACAUACUUCACAAACGUUUAAUGUACCACCACACCAUCCAUGUCUGCAAUACAGGUACAUGUACCUUAAGCCAUUUGAUGCAUCUCUAUAAGCCCUUCAACAACAAAUGAAAUUAAUGCCUGUUGAAUCCAUAAGGCUGUUGUAUUCAUGAGACUAUAUCCAAAAAGACCUUGGAUAUUUUACUCUGCAGAUGGGACAUUUGGACAAUCGCUGAGGACACAAAUCACUACACCACCCAUAUGUCCACAUGGAAAAACAAUGUGCAUACCUUCUACAUCAUCUCUGUAUUGCCAACACACAAAAUAACAAUCAUAUACCUCGCUUGAAUACACAGCGUCAUUCUUUUAUCAUAAAACACUCGUUAUUUCAAUAAGUAUUCAUGAUUUUGAAAACAUUUUUUUACAUAGUUUCAAGUUGUUAAGAAACAACGUUUUAGUUAAAAAAUUAUAUUUUUAAAUAUUUUUUAUCCUUAUAUUUUUUUAAGUUUUUUACUUUUUUGAAUGACAGCAUAGAGUUUUGAUUUCAUAUUCCAAAGCAUCAUAAUUUUCUGAGUAUUUUGAUACAUAAAAAUCAAAUUUAGGACGACUAGUUUAUGAGUUAUACGUAUUUAAAGUUUAGACAAUAGGACAAAUAUUUUGCGGGGUAACUCCGUACCACUCCACUCCGUGCGUCUAAACUUUAAAUACGUAUAACUCAUAAACUACUCGUCUUAAAUUCGAUUUUUAUGUAUCAAAAUACUCAGAAAAUUAUUUAGAAAUAUAAUUUUUUAAUAAAAAUGUUGUUUUUUAACAAUUUGAAACUCUGUAAAAAAAUGUUUUCAAAAUCAUAGAAUACUUUUUAAAAUAAUAAGUGUUUUAUGAUAAAAGAAUCACCCCGUAUAAGUAUAAAAUAGGUUAAAGUUAAUCUAGUAUAUUUAUAUUGCCUAGUACAGGGUGGGGCACUGAAACGGCUGAUUUUAAAAAUAGAUUUUCUCAGUAGUAAUUAAGAUAAGAAUUCUCACUAAAUACUAUUAGUUCAAAGAUAACAUGCCAUUUAGUAAACAUGGAACAGUGGAGUGGUAAACAACGUGCUUAUGCGAUAAAAUCAUUUUACAAAAAUAAUGACAGUUACGUAGUCGCACAGCGUGAAUUUCGUCUUCAUUUUAAUCUUAAACGGCAUGAUUCGGUACCAUCGGCUAAGGUUAUUAAAAUAUGGAUAACCAACUUUGAAGAAACGGGUUCAGCAUUAAAAAAUAAGCCUGUACGACAAAAAACUAUUCGCACACCUGAAAACAUCGUUGCUGUCAGAGCCAUAGUGGAAAAUAUACGAAGUAGGCUAGAAGAGUGUUUGAGAAGAGAUGGCCAUCAUCUUGAGGACAUAAUUUUUAAAAAAUAAUUGGCAUGUUAUAUACUUCAUUAUAAUAAAUAAUAAUUAAUUUUUAUUUGGUUUUUUUAUUUUAUAAUUUGUCUAUGAAAAUCGGCCGUUUCAGUGCCCCACCCUGUAUAAAGAAUAAUUUGUUUAAACUAAUAACAAUUUCUAUAUUAGGAAUAUAAUAUACAGAAGACUACACCUGGUAUUUGUAGUAAUGCAUCAUGUUUCUCCAACAAUUAUGGCAUUCAAUUUUUCUGCUCCAACCGUCACAAUCUCAACAUUUUCAUUCUCAAUGAAUAUAAGUAUUUACAUAUAAAUAUUUUUCAUUAAACUAUAAAUAAUUUAUUUUACCUAAAUUUUCACUUUCAGUUGGAAGUGUUUCAUCUAAUUCAAAAUGAACAGCUACAGAAAAAAAUAAAUAUUAAAUCUUCUUCAUUAAAAUUUAUAUUAUUUAUAUAUAAUAUGUACCUUCAAUUUCUGGUUGAGGUAGAACUUCCACUAUGUUGCCUAUAGGCUAUAACCAAAUUUAACAUUUUAACAAUAGCUAUAAAAUUGUAUUAUUUAUUUAAAAAUUUCAAUUGUAGAAUCAUUCUGUUGCAUCUUCAUUUAAAUUCUGAGAGGAUUUUGCCUUCUACCAACAAUGGGACGUCCUCAGCGUCUCUGGCCUUUGGUAGCAUGUACGACUGAGGUUGAACAACAGGUUGUACCCGGACUUGAUCUAUACCUCUUCCAGCACCACAUCUUAUGCAACUUGGUUCACAUUUUGUUUCGUGGUCAAGUGCACUAUCCUCGUUUAUAGCAUUUAAAAAUAAUAGGAUAUCGCCACAAUCAAGGCCAUAUCCAAGUCAAGUAGUUUAUUUUCAAUUUGUUAUCAGUUUACGAUUAUAGUAAUACAAAUACUUUAUCCACAGCACACCGCAUAAUGUAUAAAUUGAUUGGAUAAUACAUAUUUAAGGUGGAUAAUGUAUACAUUACACUAUUCAUAUGGAUAAGUUUCACAUUACCCGGGUAAUAUGUACACUAACCGUUUUUGGACCUUACCCGUAAAAUAUAUAUUAUCAAUAAUUGAAAGUGAAAUUAUUAAGUAAAACAUUUUUUAUUUUUUUAAGGUACGUAUUUUGUUUCGUGGUCAAGCGUACUAUCCUCCUUUAUAGAGAUCAAAGUUAAUGUGACAUCCGCACAAUCAAGGCCAUAUCUGAUGCCAGAAAGGAAAUUAAUGUUGCACAUAACUCCUUAUAUUUUCGCUACAUUCGUUCUGUAUUGCAACUUUGUUCGGUCACAUGCCGGAUUUGGGAUUUCGAAAUAAAUACUGUACACUGUCCAGUAAAUCAUAUAGGUAUUUUUUUCGGUGCGUGAUUUCAUCACAAAUCUGUUGGGGAAAACUCUUAUAACAUCAUAUAACUGCGUGUUACUGGUCAUACUGUUGUAAAUAGCUUUGGACAAUUCUUUAUCACUUAUUGCCAAAUCUGUAUCAGAAAGCGAUUUCAGUUUUUUGUUCUUGUACGUUAAUUCGUUUCUCGUAAAGCAGUUACCACUCGGGCAAAGGACAUCACGAUAUUUGGUCGUUAUGAAUUUGAAAUCGAUUGGGUAAAACACUACAUUGUCCGAUGCGUUUAGAAGGUACAAUUUGUUGUCGGUGAUCAAAUUUAUGAGAGGUUGACAAUCAUCAGACCUUACGGACAGUAUGCAGUUGAUUAAAAACACAAUAGAAAACGAGACCUACUUGUCUAUAAUCUAUAAAAGCCACGAUUUGUGAUAUAUAUAUAUUUUCUAUUAUAUUAUAUAAAAAUACGUCGAAACGGAAAAUAAUACAACGCGUCUACGUAGAUAGUACCUUUUUUAUAUUAUUUACACGAUGCACACUUCAAAAUAUAUUUUAUUAAAACGACUUACUUAUAUUAUAUUAAAUUACACUCCUUCUGUGAUCGGUAUAUAUAUAAUCACUGUGAAAUAUAAUACACGUAAAAGUAAUUCUGAAGUCAUAAAAAACGAACACUCGGCAGUCAAAUUCACUCAGCAAUGCCCAAACCAAGCCGCUGGGUCUAGAAACUUAAAAUUGUGUACAGAUUUUCCUUGUGCAUAUAAAUGAUUUUCCUUAUAAAUGUAGUGGCACACUAAGAUAGGAUUUUUUUAAAUUCAACCUCUUAAGGGGUAAAUGGCGGGGUUUUAUUAUAUAGCUAUAGAUAAAUGUAUUUUUUUAAUUGUUUUAUAAUUGUUUGUUAUUUCUUCUAAGUGGUUGCUAGGAUACUAAAAAUAUGUCUUAUUACUUAAGAUAUAUUUUUAGUAUUCUAUUAACCACAAAGAAGAAAUAACAAACAAUUAUUAAACAAUUAAAAAAUACAUAUAUCUAUUGUCUUUGCUCAAAAUCAACUUAUGACCAACAUUUUUUAUCGGUAUUGACAAUUUUAGAAAUUGUAAACAUUUCUGUAGUCUAAUUUGGCGUUAUAACCAUUACCAAAAUUAUAUAUAUUAUAUUAUUAUUUUUUUUUAUAUUUAUAUUAUUAUUGCAUUUAAUUUAAAUAAACCUUCAUGAGGUAUAUUGGUGUACAUUUUAUUGUAUUAUAAUAAUUAUAUACUAUAUUUUAAUAAAGUCAAAAUUGAAUUGUACCAAUUCAGUUUUUUGAUACAAACUAGUUUUAAAUUUUAUUUUGAAUAAUCUUAUAACAUGUUCAAGUGUUUAACGUUUAACCAUACCAGCCUUAAUACUACGCUGUAUGUUGAAUAACAACGAACCACACUGAGAAACUGAUGAGAAUUAAAAUUGAACUGGAAACCAAAUAACCGUCGAAAACCACCAUCAUCGUCUUA